rnacentral:rRNA from 1 species
AUUGAACGCUGGCGGCAGGCCUAACACAUGCAAGUCGAGCGAGAAAGCACUUCGGUGUGAGUACAGCGGCGGACGGGUGAGUAAAGCGUAGGAAUCUACCUGGUAGUGGGGGAUAACUUGGGGAAACUCAAACUAAUACCGCAUACGCCCUAUGGGGGAAAGCGGGGGACCUUCGGGCCUCGCGCUAUCAGAUGAGCCUGCGUAGGAUUAGCUUGUUGGUGAGGUAAAGGCUCACCAAGGCGACGAUCCUUAGCUGGUCUGAGAGGAUGAUCAGCCACACUGGGACUGAGACACGGCCCAGACUCCUACGGGAGGCAGCAGUGGGGAAUAUUGCGCAAUGGGCGAAAGCCUGACGCAGCCAUGCCGCGUGUGUGAAGAAGGCCUCGGUUGUAAG